rnacentral:Y_RNA from 1 species
GGGUGGUCUGAGUGCAAUGGUAUUUACAACUAAUUGAUCACCACUAGUUACAGAUUCCUUUGUUCCUUCUCCACUCCCACAGCUUCACAUGACUGGCCUUAA